rnacentral:rRNA from 1 species
AUUGAACGCUGGCGGCAUGCUUUACACAUGCAAGUCGAACGGUAACAGGCCGCAAGGUGCUGACGAGUGGCGAACGGGUGAGUAACGCAUCGGAACGUGCCCAGUCGUGGGGGAUAACGCAGCGAAAGCUGUGCUAAUACCGCAUACGAUCUGUGGAUGAAAGCGGGGGACCGUAAGGCCUCGCGCGAUUGGAGCGGCCGAUGUCAGAUUGGGUAGUUGGUGGGGUACAGGCUCACCAAGCCGACGAUCUGUAGCUGGUCUGAGAGGACGACCCGCCACACUGGGACUGAGACACGGCCCAGACUCCUACGGGAGGCAGCAGUGGGGAAUUUUGGACAAUGGGCGCAAGCCUGAUCCAGCAAUGCCGCGUGCAGGAAGAAGGCCUUCGGGUUGUAAACUGCUUUUGUACGGAGCGAAAAGGCUCCCUCUAAUACAGGGGGCUCAUGACGGUACCGUAAGAAUAAGCACCGGCUAACUACGUGCCAGCAGCCGCCGCCG